rnacentral:rRNA from 1 species
GCAUUAAAGCAACAACUAAAAUCCCGAAACCAUAUGAGCUGAAAUAUAUUGUCAAGCACCCACCACUUAAUGUCUCAAUAUUAAAGGAAAAUUAUAAUUCAGGGGCUACAUACCUACCGCAUAUGGAAAUAGCUGGUUUUUCACUUUCCCAGCACAAACUGAUCAAACUGAAUAAAAAUUAAUAACUUCUCUCAGUUAUAUAAAAAGAUAGAGGAUAAGCUCAAUCUUACUACUUAUUUAAAUAAAAGACCCAAAUAAAAGUAGGCUUAGAAACAGCCACCCAACAUUCCGUUACAGCACCAAAAACCCAAUAAUUAAACACAAAUUAAAUAAAUGAAAUAUAAAAUAAACCCAAAAUUUUAAAACCUAUGCAAGGAUUAGUAUUAUAAACAAAAGUAAAGAAGGAACUCGGCAAAUAAAGGCUCCGACUGUUUAUCAAAAACAUAGCCUAUUGUAAGUAAAAUAAUAGGUAACCCCUGCCCAGUGAAAUAUUCAACGGCCGCGGUACCCUGACCGUGCAAAGGUAGCAUAAUCAUUUGCCUUUUAAUUAAAGGCUAGCAUGAAUGGACAAACGAAAGCCUCUCUGUCUCCUUUUCUAGCAUAAAAAUUUACCUUUAGGUGAAGAGGCCUACAUAUAUAUAAAAGACAAGAAGACCCUGUCGAGCUUUAAUCUCCCAAACAAAGCUAAAAUGCUUAAUCAUAAUACAGAUUUUUGCUGGGGCGGCAAAGGAAUAAAUAAAACUUCCUGUAUAACAAAGAAACUUAUUCUCUCAAAUGACCCAUAAAUUGAUCAACAAAUAUAGCUACCGCAGGGAUAACAGACUAAUCUUCCUUAAGAGCCCAAAUCUACAGGAAGGAUUGGCACCUCGAUGUUGGCUUAGGGACUCUUCUAGAUGCAGCAAUCUAAAAAGAGGGUUUGUUCAACCCUUAAUUCCCUACAUGAG